rnacentral:rRNA from 1 species
GAUGAACGCUAGCGGCGUGCCUAAUACAUGCAAGUCGAGCGAACGGACGAGAAGCUUGCUUCUCUGAUGUUAGCGGCGGACGGGUGAGUAACACGUGGAUAACCUACCUAUAAGGCUGGGAUAACUUCGGGAAACCGGAGCUAAUACCGGAUGAUAUUUUGAACCGCAUGGUUCAAAAGUGAAAGACGGUCUUGCUGUCACUUAUAGAUGGAUCCGCGCUGCAUUAGCUAGUUGGUAAGGUAACGGCUUACCAAGGCAACGAUGCAUAGCCGACCUGAGAGGGUGAUCGGCCACACUGGAACUGAGACACGGUCCAGACUCCUACGGGAGGCAGCAGUAGGGAAUCUUCCGCAAUGGGCGAAAGCCUGACGGAGCAACGCCGCGUGAGUGAUGAAGGUCUUCGGAUCGUAAAACUCUGUUAUUAGGGAAGAACAUAUGUGUAAGUAACUGUGCACAUCUUGACGGUACCUAAUCAGAAAGCCACGGCUAACUACGUG